rnacentral:misc_RNA from 1 species
AACGCAUAUUGCGCUCUCUGGUAUUCCGGAGAGCAUGCUUGUUUGAGUAUCAGUAAACACCUCAAACUCCUAAUUAGUGUGUAAAUAUUAAUUAGUGGUUUGGAUUUGAGUAAUCCCAACAUGAAUAUCUUAUUUAUGGCGGGUUAUUUAAAAUGCAGGUGCAGCUGGAUUUUCAUCUGAGCUAAAGGCAUAUUUAUUUAGUCCCUUCAAAAGGAUUAUUACUUUGCUUCAGCUAAUUUUAAAGGAUGAAUUUCUAAUUUUUGCUGACUGAUGCAGGAAAACUACAAAAGUUGGGAGGAUUCUCUCUCUCUUUGUAUUUCUCGAUCUCAAAUCAAGUAAGACUACCCGCUGAACUUAA